rnacentral:rRNA from 1 species
UACUCCUACGGGAGGCAGCAGUGGGGAAUCUUGCGCAAUGGGCGAAAGCCUGAUGCAGCAACGCCGCGUGCGGGAAGAAGGCCCUCGGGUUGUAAACCGCUUUCAGAAGGAACGAAACUGACGGUACUUUCAGAAGAAGGUGCGGCCAACUACGUGCCAGCAGCCGCGGUGACACGUAGGCACCAAGCGUUGUCCGGAUUUAUUGGGCGUAAAGAGCUCGUAGGCGGUUCAGUAAGUCGGGUGUGAAAACUUUGGGCUUAACCCAAAGCGUGCAUCCGAUACUGCUGUGACUUGAGUACGGUAGGGGAGCGGGGAAUUCCUAGUGUAGCGGUGAAAUGCGCAGAUAUUAGGAGGAACACCGGUGGCGAAGGCGCCGCUCUGGGCCGAAACUGACGCUGAGGAGCGAAAGUAUGGGUAGCAAACAGGAUUAGAUACCCUGGUAGUCCAUGCCGUAAACGUUGGCACUAGGUGUGGGUUCCAACCAACGGAAUCCGCGCCGUCGCUAACGCAUUAAGUGCCCCGCCUGGGGAGUACGGCCGCRAAGGUUAAAACUCRAAUGAAUUGACGG